GACGGGUGAGUAAUGCAUGGGAAUCUACCCAGCUCUACGGAAUAACUCAGGGAAACUUGAACUAAUACCGUAUGCGCCCUUCGGGGGAAAGAUUUAUCGGAGUUGGAUGAGCCCAUGUCUGAUUAGCUAGUUGGUGGGGUAAAGGCCUACCAAGGCGACGAUCAGUAGCUGGUCUGAGAGGAUGAUCAGCCACACUGGGACUGAGACACGGCCCAGACUCCUACGGGAGGCAGCAGUGGGGAAUAUUGGACAAUGGGGGCAACCCUGAUCCAGCCAUGCCGCGUGAGUGAUGAAGGCCCUAGGGUUGUAAAGCUCUUUCACCGGUGAAGAUAAUGACGGUAACCGGAGAAGAAGCCCCGGCUAACUUCGUGCCAGCAGCCGCGGUAAUACGAAGGGGGCUAGCGUUGUUCGGAAUUACUGGGCGUAAAGCGCGCGUAGGCGGAUCGGUCAGUUAGGGGUGAAAUCCCGGGGCUCAACCCCGGAACUGCCUCUAAUACUGCCGAUCUAGAGUUCGAGAGAGGUGAGUGGAAUUCCGAGUGUAGAGGUGAAAUUCGUAGAUAUUCGGAGGAACACCAGUGGCGAAGGCGGCUCACUGGCUCGAUACUGACGCUGAGGU
rnacentral:rRNA from 1 species